AAACAUCUUCAUUUCCUCACUUUCCUCCUAUCUUACCAUAACAAAAAUUCCUCUCUCUCUUCUCUUCUAUCUUUCACUUACUUUCUUGAAAUAGAAAUAGAGUAGUGAGGAAAAAAGUUGUCUCAAAGAUGAAACCAAAAGACAAAUUUGUCAAAGGUCCCAAUAAGGAAAAUCUCAUGCAUGUGAUGAGUACUAGUAGGAGCAAGUUCAUGACCACCAUGGUCAACCCUUUGAGAUUCUGUGACAAAAAAGAAGAAGACAUUGGUGGCUCUGAAAUUGUAGCUGACAAUUCUUCAGCAACUUCAGCAUUAGCAGCAGGUUCAUUCUAAUCAUCAUGGGUGCUAUCCUAUCUGAGCUUUUUUUUCACCUUUCUCUUUUCUUAACUUUUUUUUUACUCUACUUGUGUCUUCUUGACCUUGUAAGACCUUUUCUUGACCUUGUAAGACCUCACUCUGUGUCGGUUUUCUUUGUUUUUGCUUUUGUGGAAGACGCUAUAUCGAAAUUUGUUGAUAUAGAGUUUCGUCUCCGUUUUUCCCUUUUACCACCCAACUCAUUCUCUCUUUUCUUGUCUAUCCCUCCUGAGCUAGUUCCAUUUUCGCCAUUAAUGGCUUGAAAAUUGGAUGAAAAAAAAGGACCUUGCAAAUUGUAAUGUGCAAAUUGGUUCUAAUUUAUUCGAUCUUAUUAUAAUUAUUAUUGACAUUAUUAUUAUUAUUGAAAUGUAGUAAUUGUAGCUAGCAUGCUUUCAUCA